rnacentral:sRNA from 1 species
GGAAGUGGCCGGGAGGUGGCAGGGUCUCUGGGGCCACCGCCGCGAGUCCGCAGUCGUUCGGGCCAUGGAGGCGGAGCCGCCGCUCUACCCGAUGGCGGAGGCCGCGGGGCCGCAGGGCGACGAGGACCGGCUCGGGGUCCCGGACGGGCCCGAGGCCCCGCUGGACGAGCUGGUGGGCGCGUACCCCAACUACAACGAGGAGGAGGAGGAGCGCCGCUACUACCGCCGCAAGCGCCUGGGCGUGCUCAAGAACGUGCUGGCUGCCAGCGCCGGGGGCAUGCUCACCUACGGCGUCUACCUGGGCCUCCUGCAGAUGCAGCUGAUCCUGCACUACGACGAGACCUACCGCGAGGUGAAGUAUGGCAACAUGGGGCUGCCCGACAUCGACAGCAAGAUGCUGAUGGGCAUCAACGUGACGCCCAUCGCCGCCCUGCUCUACACACCUGUGCUCAUCAGGUUUUUUGGAACGAAGUGGAUGAUGUUCCUGGCUGUGGGCAUCUACGCCCUCUUUGUCUCCACCAACUACUGGGAGCGCUACUACACGCUUGUGCCCUCGGCUGUGGCCCUGGGCAUGGCCAUCGUGCCUCUUUGGGCUUCCAUGGGCAACUACAUCACCAGGUGAGCCUAGUGGGCAGCAGGGCAGGAGGCUGGAGACCUGGCCAAGCCUCCACUUUAUUGCCAACUUUGGCUGGGGGACCACAGGAAGCCCCUUCUGCCCUCUGGGCCUCAGUUUCCCCACACCGGGGCUGGUCUGCCCCUAGCUCUGGGUGCAGGACACACAGGAGUGGCACAGGUCGGGCUGGGGAGAGCCUUCUCUCCUU